rnacentral:lncRNA from 1 species
AUUAUGCAACUUUAAUAUUACAAAAUAUCUAGAUAUUGAGUUUGAUUUCAUUUAAAACAAAUUGAUUUGUUUAAAUUUCAUUAUCUUGGUAGGAUUGAAGGAUAACAAGAAAAAUCCAAUUAGGAAUCCACAUUUUGAGAUAAAAGGUGGUCACAAUCAAAUUCAUAAAAGGAUAUUCUAGACGAGCUGGGUUAUGGACUGCGUUAUGGGCACAAACAUACUUGACAAAGCCAGCCUCAAAUCCGGGAACCAAACAGAUAACUCUUAUCUGCCAAACUGUACUCAAUUUUGAUUUUAGAUACUUGUAUUUGGGUUAGGACUCUUAGCACUAUAAAAAAAGGCAUUGUGAUGUAUC